rnacentral:lncRNA from 1 species
UACGAACAUUUUCACUUGGAGUUUAAACAGGCUUUUCAGAUAACAACAGGGAUACAUUGUCCUCACAUAAGAUAAAGCCAGUAACAAACUACGAACAUUUUCACUUGGAUUUUAAACAGGCUUUUCAGAUAACAACAGGGAGACAUUGUCCUAAGAGAAGAUAAAGCCAUUAACAAGCUACGAACAUUUUCACUUGGAUUUUAAACAGGCUUUUCAGAUAACAACAGGGACUGCUUGCAAAGGUUCAGCCAUUUGAACGGUGAGUCCAAACUUCUCUUCCAUGUUCAUCUCUUUUGGUGAGAUCCCACCUUCAAGUUUCCAAUCAAAAGAGUUAAUAAGAGAUCCUAACAUCAAAUACAACAUUCGAUUCGCCAAAGGUAAUCCUGAGCAUAUUCGGCGUCCAGCUCCGAACGGAAUCAACCCAAAAUCCCUACCUUUGACAUCAAUUUCGGACCCCAAGAAUCUCUCUGGCAUAAAACUGUU